GUGCUUGCUUCAGCAGCACAUGUACUAAAAUUGGAACAAUGCAGAGAAGAUUAGCAGGGCCCCUGCACAAGGAUGACAUGCAAAUUUGUGAAGCAUUCCAUAUUUUU
rnacentral:snRNA from 1 species